rnacentral:tRNA from 10 species
GUCCCCAUCGUCUAGAGGCCCAGGACAUCGCCCUUUCACGGCGGUAACGGGGGUUCGAAUCCCCCUGGGGACGCCA